rnacentral:rRNA from 74 species
UUUGACCUCAAAUCAGGUAGGACUACCCGCUGAACUUAA